rnacentral:rRNA from 1 species
AUGCGUAUACUUAGCUGGAACUGUUGUGGGAUUGGAAACAAUGCGACAGUUCAAGAGCUACGGACGUUAGUGCAACAGUUUGCCCCAUGGGUGCUAUGCCUGUAAGAAACUCAAGUAGUAUGGUUGAGAGCUAGGAAUCUAGCCUUUUCUUUUGGUUUCGGUAGAAGCUAUACCAUGGGUAGUAACGUUAGAAGUGGUGUAUUAGCUAUGUAUUGGAACAAUGAUAUUUCUCUUGAACUUAUUCAUUUUUCACAAUAUCACAUUGACAUUGUAGUUAUGAAGGGAGAAGAGGAACAAUAA